UAAAUUUAUAACCACUUAUAUCUUCUGUUGCAGAAUUUUCACUAUAAGGCUUUCGGUUAUUUCUGUCAUGGUGGAUAUUCUGUCAAAUUACCGUAACUGCUAUUUUCUCGAACACGCUUGGUUUAACCAUAUCAUUUAUUGGACAG